GCUUACAUCGGUAACAAUUUCUUCACGUACAUUUUAUUGAGUUUGAUUUCCUAUCCUUUUUGGUUUCUUCAAUAGGGAAUUGAAAUAGACUGCUGGGUUUUGUAGACUUUGCAGUUUAAUUCUUGGGUUUUAUUGAAAUUGGAAAUUUUGCUCAACCGGGACAAGUAGCUCUAGCUUGUUGGGGUUUUGGUUUGUUUUCUUUUUCUUGUCUCUGUUUUUUCUUGAGAAAUUGGCGAAAUUCAAGAACUGGGACAAUAAAAUAUAUGUGCCUUCUGCUAUUGAAUUAUGUUACUUGGGUGUUUUUAGAAAGUAAGAUUCUGUGUUGUGAAGUUAGAUAACCUUCAAAGCUAUACCUAUCAACAAUUUUCGCAAUUUCAUCUCCCAAAUAAUGGUUUAGCUGUGUUUCAAGUGGGCUUUCGGCAAGCAAUUGGAGGACAGAUUAUCGUUUUGCAAAAGAUUAAAGAUGUUACUGAAUCUUGAGUUACAUGGUUUCUUAAGCUCCCAAAGUUUUGAUAGAAUCAUCAUUAAGUGAAUGUUUUACUUCCUUAUCGUGGAAAAUUGGAUUUUUAGUCUGCAUUGCUUUUCUGUUAUUAAGCAGAUUUUUUUUUUUAAAAUAAGUGAGAACCUUAGAAAUGCGAUUGAGAUUAUAUUAUUGUUUUUGCAGUGAAAGUUGGAAUUCCAGAGUUUCUAAAUGGAAUAGGUAAAGGAGUUGAAGCCCAUGCAGCCAAGCUUGAAUCUGAGAUUG
rnacentral:misc_RNA from 1 species